GUUUGUUUGUGUGUGUGUGUGUGCGAUGAAGAUCGUACAGACACACACACACACACACCACCAACCUGGAUGUCAGACGCAUGCCGCCAGUUCCGGCGCGGGGUUGGAGGUCAGAGGUCGGGGACACGUGACAGGUCACGGUGGAUUCUAGAAACACAAAGGGGGGGUCGCCACAACACAAACACACCCACUCACAAACACACACACAACAGCACACACACACAUACUCCAACUCAUGAACGUCACACACAGAACAGAAUACACACACUCACCCACUCACAAACACACACACAACAGCACACACACACACAUACCAACUCACAAACACACACACAACAGCACCCACACACACUGCACACCAACUCAGAAAAAACAGCACACACACAUACACACACAGACGCACACCAACACAAAAACAUUGAGAACAAUGUUCUCAUUAUUUUGAGAAUAUGAGCUACUAGUUAGUCAUACAAUAAGUCUUUAUUACACUACGACUUUGAUUACAGUUUUACCGACAAACACAGUGUUUCAAGAGAAUUACGUCCAUUUAAUGAACACAAAUUGCUCUUGCAAUUGCCACAUAAAUGUAAUUUUUUAACAAAUUGAAUGAGAAAUUGAUAGAGAUUUUAACAAGAACUCUACAGCGAAUAAAGCCGGACCAGUCAGGAUAUUAGUUAUGUGUUUAUAUUAGUGAGUCUUUAUUUAUAAUCAUACAAUAACCCAUUAAACGUCUCUUCAAAACGACACAUUUUGAUACAGUGCUCAUAGAAGGGGGACGGAUCAAUACAACAUUAGUCAGAACCACCUCAUGCCCACAGUGUAAACACUGAUACCAGUGAUUGAUCAGCCCAAUCAAUAUCAAUAGAGAUGACCCGAUCAAUAAGGUUAAACACACGCAGGUCCGAGUGUGAGUGUUUGACAAACACAGACUGUGACAAAGGAUUACAGAGUGAUAAAGGACUGAUACCCCCAUUGAAGAGAGAGAGAGAGAGAGAGAGAGAGAGAGAGAGAGAGAGAGAGAGAGAGAGAGAGAGAGAGAGAGAGAGAGAGAGAGAGAGAGAGAGAGAGAGAGAGAGAGAGAAGAAGAGAGGAGAAAGAGAAAAAAAGAUUUUGUCAAAAUACUUCAAGAAGGUGGCUCUAACUGAAAGAGUGAGUUGAUGUGCAUGUGUGUGUGUGCGUGUGUGUGUGUUAAAGGGUCGGGUGUAACAGACAGUUUCGUCCCCCUAGGCACGGACCAGAGAAGGAUCAGAGUGGACAGCAGCGGGGAUGGCAAAGAGGGGGCGGCGACAUGAGGAGUCCAACGUAACACACACACACACACGCACAUGCACACGCACAAACACACACACACACACGUGGACACAAACACACACGGGCACACAAACGCACUGUCACACACACACCAAUACACACACACAGAGAAGCACACGCACACCCAGGGCGGCGAGGUCUAUAUGGUUCAGGAGGUGAGUUAUGAGCAGGGAUCCCUUACACGCCGCUGGAGUACAGAUCCCCCCACGGGGAGCAUGUGGUGUGUGUUUCUGUGUGCUGGUGUCUGUGUGCUGGUAUCUGUGUACUGGUUUCUGUGUACGUCACAUCAGGGUGCGUUCAUGUGAUGGAUUGUGUGUGUGUGUGUGUGCGUGCGUGCGUGCGUGCAUGCGUGUGUGUGUGUGUGUGUGUGUCUGUGUGCGCACAUGUACACGUGCUUGAUAAAUUAAGACAGAACAUUUGUCAAACUGUUAUGUACGCUUAUAAACAAGACGUUUUGUUCACAAUCAAUUCGAAACAGCUGUUUAAAGUGCGUUUGUUAUAACAGUCAUCACAUCUCUGAGCAGAGGAUUAUCUAUCUUAGUGACAGAUAUACUGUGUAUGACUUGACAUUACGUAACUAUUAUCAGUUCAACCGGACCAACAGAGGUACAACAUGUAGGACUGAAACCUCCCACUGGGUUUCAUCCACAGCGCGGUGACCAGAAGGUCGGUAGUUCGAUCCCCGGCUCCUCCCAUAUAGUGGAGCUAUAUAGGACCUAUAGCUCCACUAUAUACACCUCAACACUCUCAGGAGGAGUGUUGAGGUGUCUCACUGCUUCGGACGCCCUGCAUGGUCGACUCCGCCGUCAGUGGCUUUGGAUGAAAGCGUCAGCGUGACCCCCUAAACGGGAAUGUAAAUGUAGUUCCCCAUGUUUGGUUUGUCAUCCAGGGAUGCCAACUACAUCAGACACAGGGCUCAUGUACCAAAUACAUAGGGCGCUAUCCAACACCAUACAUCAGGCCAACAUUGUCACAUGCAAUAUAUAUUUGUUAUUUCUUUCUAUUUCCCGUGCGUUUAAUAACGGUAAAACAAUGCGUUAGGUUAGGCUUCCAUCAUCCGCUUCACUUCAGAUCGUUCCACGGUUCUCAGUGCGCCCGUCUCAGUUGGGUUCCACUAGACCCUCCCGCUCUAUGAGUCGGUCCUCCUGAGGUCAGCUGUGUCUCCGGGCCACAGGGCCCGCGUCCCGCUCCGCCGUGUCCCGCCUGCCGUGUCCCGCUCCGCCGCGGCUUUCAUCUCCUGUCGCUCAGCGGGUCGUCCUGUGAUCUCACCGCUGGUGUCAUCAUGUCAUCAUCGGCUCGUUCCCCAUCACCCAUCGCCGAACCACCUGGGGGGAGAGAGAGAGAGAGAGGGAGAGAGAGAGGGAGGGAG
ensembl:lncRNA